UACGGAAGGCAGCAGUGGGGAAUAUUGCACAAUGGGCGCAAGCCUGAUGCAGCCAUGCCGCGUGUAUGAAGAAGGCCUUCGGGUUGUAAAGUACUUUCAGUCGUGAGGAAGGUGUUAAGGUUAAUAACCUUAGCAAUUGACGUUAGCGACAGAAGAAGCACCGGCUAACUCCGUGCCAGCAGCCGCGGUAAUACGGAGGGUGCGAGCGUUAAUCGGAAUUACUGGGCGUAAAGGGCACGCAGGCGGUUAAUUAAGUUGGAUGUGAAAUCCCCGGGCUUAACCUGGGAAUGGCAUUCAAGACUGGUUAGCUAGAGUCUUGUAGAGGGGGUAGAAUUCCAUGUGUAGCGGUGAAAUGCGUAGAGAUGUGGAGGAAUACCGGUGGCGAAGGCGGCCCCUGGGACAAAGGACUGACGCUCAUGUGCGAAAGCGUGGGGAGCAAACAGGGAUUAGAUA
rnacentral:rRNA from 1 species